rnacentral:rRNA from 1 species
UACAGAGGAGCCAAGCGUUGUCCGGAUUGACUGGGCGUAAAGCGCACGCAGGCGGUUUGGCGCGUGGGGUGUGAAAUCUGGCCGCUUAACGGCCAGGCGCCAUCCCAUACGGCUAGACUGGAGUGAUGCAGAGGUCGGUGGAAUUGCCGGUGUAGAGGUGAAAUUCGUAGAUAUCGGGAGGAACACCAGUGGCGAAGGCGGCGACCUGGGCCAAUAUUGACGCUGAGGUGCGAAAGCGUGGGGAGCAAACAGG